AGCCUGCUUGAUUCCCGUUUGUGCCCCGCUCAGGGUCAGCUCGUGGCUGCUUGUGUUCUGUUCACAGCCUGUUUGUGGCCUGCUUGGAGCCUGCUGCUGUUGUGUUCAGGGCCGCUCACAUCCUGUUCAUGGCUUGCUUGCAGCCUGCUCAGGGCCUGUCUGUGCUCUGCUACGUCCUGCUCACAGCCUGUUUGCAGCCCGUUCAGGUCCUGCUCAGGUCCCAUUCAGGUCCCGUUCAGCUCCUGCUCCUCCCACCCCAGCCCCCCCCCGCUGCGGUGCCCCUCGGUUCUGCACAUUGUAGGAAGGAAAGCGUUUCUGUAACCAAACCAGUCUUUGUUCCUCGUUGCCUGUUGGAAGUUGCUCUCUGUCGCGUUGCUGAGGCCGUCCCUGGGCAGGGGGAGGCAGCGCCUGUUGCACUGCGGCUUUCUUUUACCAAAGCCCAACCCUCAGAACCAAAUAGGGAGCAGCGGCCGCCCCGGCCUUUGGCUGACAGCACUUUGAGUCUCGCAGGAGCAUCUCCUGGUGCUCCUGGUGCUGCAGUGCAGGCUGUGCUCCUCGGCUUCUCUGCCCCCGUCCCCCCGUCCUCCGGCUUGAAGGAAAGCGUAAACCUUUCUGCACCGAAUACCUCAGUUGGGAACCAGAGCUCACAAAACUUGAAUUAAAAGGUCCUUUUUGAAGAUCCUUUUCAGUAUUCUGCAGAGAAGAACUGGAAAAAAAAAAAAAAGAGAUUUGUUUACAUGGCUGCCGAGCCCGCGCUCGCUGCGUCCUUUAUCUCCCGGCUCCUCGCCGAUGGCCGUCGCCUUUCCCUGCGGGGUGGGAGGUCGGGUCCGAGCCCCACGGAGCCCCACGGAGCCCCACGGAGCCCCAGGCUGUGGGGUGGUGGCAGAGCUCAGGGCUGGCGCCGGGUGCAGACGUCGGCUGGGCAGCGCGUCGGUCGGUCACAGCUUUUUCCGUAUCCAGGACGAGAGAAUUCCUCAGAGCACACACAGCACGCUGCUUUUCCUUCUCUCCUUUCGACCGCCUUUGUCAGUAUUGUGCUUCUCGGUUUCUUUUUCCAAACCUGAUCUCUUCUGCCUUCUGUCCGCGCUGUGCGUUGUCAGCGUCGCUCCACGCGACGGCUGGACUGCGAGACAAUCAAUGUGAUCUCUGUAAGGGCUGCUCCAUUUCCUCUCUGCAGCGCCGUGCUUUACGUGGACGCGUUCUUUGCUCUUAGCGAGGAGUUUUUUCUCCCCUCCCCUCGUGUCUUAUUAUAAGUAAUGAUAAUAAUGAUGAUGAUGACAGUGGAGUGAAACGAGGUUUCAGCAGCGCACCGCGGUUGGGGUUCUGGGGGUGGUGGGAGAGGGAAGCGCGGCCGCGUCCCUGCAGUCCCAGUCUUGUUCUCCUUUAACGCUGUAUUGUAUACAUUUGACAGCACAGCUUGACAAUUUAAGUAAUAAUCAAAGUGUUUGGUAAUAAUGCAUUAUUUUGCUAAACGAGAUUUGUGAUGGUUUCCCCAGUGCAUUGUAAGAGGGAUGGAGGGAAACUUCCGCUGCCCGCCCGGUGCCCGCUCCUCCCCGCCACCUCGAUGCCAAAGUUGGACCAUUCCUGCUUCGCGUUCCCUGCGGCACACGUUUGGUGCAGAGCUCACCAAGCAGCGACUUUUCGCCCCCUCCCCCCCCAAAGCUGUCCGUGUGGGUGUGGAACAAACAGCCCCAUCUCCCCCUCCCCAAAACAAAAGGAAGUUUCUCUCCGCCCCCUGGUCCAAAGCACUUGCUUCAAGUAAUAAGCACUUUUGUUAAAGCAUGAGUCUGGAUUCCCUUUAGCGUCCCACGGGAUAGAGAGCAGCAAAGGAAGGGAUUACGAGAGUGUCUUUGGGUUUUGGUUUUUAUUAUUCUUUGAUUUUUUUUAACUUGAAAAAAGAAAAAAAAAAAAAGUUUGUUUCUAGGGAAUGAAUGAACAAAGGGAAGAUGUGUUAUGAGAGAGAGGGGGAAAAAAAAAAAAGAGGAAAAAAAAAAAAGAAAAAAAAAAAAGAAAAAACAGCACAAAUACAUUUCAAGUCGAGAAGGUGUAUUUGCACUGCCAUUGCUAGAAUCCCGGGCUGCACAGCCCGGCUGAGCCAUAUAAACUGCUGACAAACACUGAAUGUAACGCAGCGCCCGGAGCAGCCCGGCAGCUCCAUUGGCUUUUCCUGACGGCCCUUCCACAGCCCCACAGAACCCAGCGGUGGUGAGGAGGUGCUCGGUGCGUUUCCUUGUUGCUGCUCCCGAGCUGCAGGCGAUUUGUGUUUCCUUAGGGAGGUGUGAGACCCCCGUCCCUGUGCCCCCCCCAGUCCCGGUCCGGUUCCCCAACCCAAAGCACCGCAGAGGUCCCAGCCCCCCCCCGACCCGGGGCUGAGUCCGACAGGUCCGAAAGUAGCACUGAUAGCAGAGCAAAAGCUCCAAAAAACAAAAAAUAGGAAAAAAAGAUAAGAGGGGUGACUUCAGGUUGUGAGCAGCCCGAGCGCCGCAGCGCAGCCGGCGGCACUGAGCGCAGCGCGGAGCAAAAGCCAAAACAACGAACCAGAGACCCCAGAAACAACCUUUUUGGUUUAUUUGUGUUGUGUGUGGGGCCGGGGGCUGCGUCCCCCCCCUGCUCCCCCCAUAGGGACCACAGAACCGUGAGCAUCGUGUCUGAGCUGUGCAGAGCGCGUCCCACUUUGCCUUCAGUAAGAAACCAAAGGACAAAACCCACCCCUCUCCAUCCGGAACAGCGUGCGUUGUUCGCUUUGGGGCAGUUGGUUUUUUUUUUCUUUCUUUCUUUUCCUUUUUUUUUUUUGUUUUGCUGUUCUGUUCGUUUCUUUCUUCCUUUCUCUCCAAGGACACCAGGAGCUGGUGGCACCUCUUCUCCCAGCGGCGCUUUUUCGGGGCAGCGGGAAGGGGACGCGUCUCCGAGGACUUGAAGGCAUCUGUAGCAAGCUCUGUGUCUUUACAAUAUCCUGUGUGUAAAUGCUGCACCUCUGUAUAUUAUGCACAUAAACAUUUCUUCGAAUACGAUAGGACAGACCUCAUCAGCAGUCAGGUACAACGACUUCCUCCUCUGUGUCCCGGUGUCCCCUGUGUGCGUGUGGAUCCGCGUGUCUGGGCGUUGUCUGAGCUCAUUCCGAUGCAAAGAAGGAGGAACAAAAUAAUAAUAAGAGGAACAUGGCCUUACUCGAUCCCGUCCUAUUGAUCUUGUUCAACUUGACCAUAAUAAAGUGAACGCAUGGAAAGCUGUGGCCUGGCUG
rnacentral:lncRNA from 1 species